UACGUAGGAGACAAACGUUAUCCGGAGUUACUGGGCGUAAAGGGCGUGUAGGCGGACUGUUAAGUCUGGCGUGAAAGCUCCCGGCUAAACCGGGAGAGGUCGUUGGAUACUGGCAGACUAGAGGGUGGUAGAGGCGUGUGGAAUUCCGGGUGUAGUGGUGAAAUGCGUAGAGAUCCGGAGGAACACCAGUGGCGAAGGCGACACGCUGGGCCAUACCUGACGCUAAAGCGCGACAGCAUGGGGAGCAAAC
rnacentral:rRNA from 1 species